UACGUAGGGACCAAGCGUUGUCCGGAAUCAUUGGGCGUAAAGAGCGUGUAGGCGGCUUGUUAAGUCUUGCGUGAAAUCUCGGGGCUCAACCCCGAGCGGUCGUGAGAAACUGGCAGGCUAGAGUGCGGGAGAGGAGAGUGGAAUUCCUGGUGUAGCGGUGAAAUGCGCAGAUAUCAGGAGGAACACCAAUGGCGAAGGCAGCUCGCUGGGACGGUACUGGCGCUGAGACGCGAAAGCGUGGGGAGCAAACAGG
rnacentral:rRNA from 1 species